rnacentral:rRNA from 1 species
AGAGUUUGAUUCUGGCUCAGAUUGAACGCUGGCGGCAGGCCUAACACAUGCAAGUCGAACGGUAACAGGAAGCAGCUUGCUGCUUUGCUGACGAGUGGCGGACGGGUGAGUAAUGUCUGGGAAACUGCCUGAUGGAGGGGGAUAACUACUGGAAACGGUAGCUAAUACCGCAUAACGUCGCAAGACCAAAGAGGGGGACCUUCGGGCCUCUUGCCAUCGGAUGUGCCCAGAUGGGAUUAGCUAGUAGGUGGGGUAACGGCUCACCUAGGCAACGAUCCCUAGCUGGUCUGAGAGGAUGACCAGCCACACUGGAACUGAGACACGGUCCAGACUCCUACGGGAGGCAGCAGUGGGGAAUAUUGCACAAUGGGCGCAAGCCUGAUGCAGCCAUGCCGCGUGUAUGAAGAAGGCCUUCGGGUCGUAAAGUACUUUCAGCGGGGAGGAAGGCGAUAAGGUUAAUAACCUUGUCGAUUGACGUUACCCGCAGAAGAAGCACCGGCUAACUCCGUGCCAGCAGCCGCGGUAAUACGGAGGGUGCAAGCGUUAAUCGGAAUUACUGGGCGUAAAGCGCACGCAGGCGGUCUGUCAAGUCGGAUGUGAAAUCCCCGGGCUCAACCUGGGAACUGCAUUCGAAACUGGCAGGCUAGAGUCUUGUAGAGGGGGGUAGAAUUCCAGGUGUAGCGGUGAAAUGCGUAGAGAUCUGGAGGAAUACCGGGUGGCGAAGGCGGCCCCCUGGACAAAGACUGACGCUCAGGUGCGAAAGCGUGGGGAGCAAAACAAGGAUUAGAUUACCCCUGGUAGUC